AUGAGUAAUGGCAAGCUAGCAGCGCAUGGAGUCGCACAAUCUUACACAGAACUAAUGCAACAAAUGACAGUCAUGAGUCAUUUACAAAGCGACAAUAUGGCAAUACCUAUAAACAGUUUCACAUCAUUCUUGACUGCGGGCAUAAACUCUAAGCAUCAAGCAACAGGCCCAAUUGCAAGCAGCAAUGAGCAGCAUCUCAGUAAUUGGGGACAAUAUUUUGUACCUUCAGAGCAGGAGCAUGAAGAAGACGAUGAAGCAAACAAUGAGGUUGAUGCAAGUCAUAGUGAUGCUGAAUCUGAUGUUGAGCGUGAAGAUGGUGAUAAAGGAAACAAUGAAGAUGAAGCAAAUCGCAUUGAUAGUGAAUCUGAUGGUGAGCAUGAAUUUGACUGCAACAGUGAUGAGAAUGCAAGUUAUCCAGAUGAAGCUUACACAGAAUGCAAUAGUGAUCAAAAUGAAACAGAUGUGGAGGAAGAUUACCUGGAACAAAAUACUUUAUCCUGUGAUGAGUUGUUGGUGGAACGCCAGCAUUCAGAGCUGCAAAAUUUGGAGCAAAGUUGGAACUAUCAGGAUUCAGUCUAUCAGCAGCAAAUGAUGAGAGCCGAUCAAGAAGUAAAAGCAAGGAGCUCUGAAGAAGCAUUGCAAGGCCCUGAUUAUGCAGAAACAACUGAUACAGAUGGCACUAGUGGCAGCGAUGAUUCAGAGUUUGAAGCAGAGCAGCUACAAGAGGUCCAACAACAAACAAAAAACUAUGAAAAGGAUAACAGUGCUACAUUUUUAGAAUCAAAUGAAGAGGAUCAGAAUGAAACUUUUAGUCCAUCAGGCAAGGAAAAAAAUGCAGGACCUAGUAAGGAGCAGAUGAAAGAUGAAAACAAGUUAUCUCAAGAAGAUAUAGAAUUCUUCCUUGAGAAUGACAGUAUUAAAAGGGCAAUUAAAUUAAGCCAAGAAGAUGAGAAGAAACACAUGCCAGCCCUUGGCAUGACAUUUGAAAGUGAUGCUCAUGCACACAGAUUCUACAAUGAAUAUUCAGCUAUUGCUGGGUUCUCAAUUCAGAAAGCUGCAAACUAUCACUGCCAGAAGAAAGAUGCACACAACAACAAAAUGACGAGGUUCACUAUGAAGUGUAACAGAUCUGGUAAACCUAGGAUAAGGACAAAACCAACAGCUGCAGGAGCAAAAAGGAGAAAGUAUAAGAGUGAUAAAAAUGCACCAACUGAGCUAGAGAAUACGACAGACAGAAGAAGAAACUACACAACUAAAACAGGUUGUCAAGCUCAGAUGGUUGUUACCUGGAAAUUCGAUACAACACAGUGGGUGGUGACAAGGAUUAUCAUUGAACACAAUCAUGACCUGCAUCCACCAGGGGAAGUCAGGUUCCUCAGGUCACACAAAUAUAUCACUGAUCAAGAGAAGGACUUGAUCAGAACUUGCAAACAAGUGAACGUACCAACUAGAAAGAUUAUGGCAAUAAUGGCGUUCUUUCGAGGAAGAGGUCUUUCUUCGCUGCCAUAUACAGCAAAACAGAUUAGCAACAUGGGCACGAAAAUGAGAAGAGAUAACGGAUUGAAUGACAUGAUGCAAGUGGUCUCAUUUUUUGAACAGAAAAAAUGA
rnacentral:rRNA from 1 species